ensembl:lncRNA
UGUGACUGCACAAGUCAAAGACAUUAAUUGACCCCCACAGCAGCAGGAAGGGGUAUAGCUCAGGGUUAGAGCAUUAGACUGUGAACCAAGAGGCCACCAGUUCGAUUCUGGAUACCCCCUCCGCAUUUUUAAUUUUGACAUUUUUACAUAGGUGCCCACAUUUUAACUUCUUCCUUAUUAGACACUCAGACACUAGGGUAAAUGUUUCAUUUUUUUUUUUUUUUUCUGAAACCAGCAAUGGUGAGGCUAGAAUGUGGUGGUUCUUAACCCCAGGUAUAAACUAGAAUCACCUGAAGAGUCCAUAAAAGUGCCAUUUCCCGGGCCCCACCCCAGACCAAUUAAAUCGGAACAUCUAGAGUGGGGCCCCAGGCUGGUGAAAGCUUCCCAGGGGGCUCUAGACUGCAGCUAAGGGCAAGACCCUGCUUUAGCAGAGCUUCCAAGAAGGCUCCUUAGCCCAAGACUGCAUUGUUCCCACUCUGCCUCUUCUUAUUCAUCCUUAUUUGAACCCCAAAUAUCUAGAGAAAGGUCUCAGUUAAUUAAGAAAGUGAAUUUUGCCAAGGCUGCAGAUGCGCGUCUGUGACACUGCCUCAGGCGAGUCCUGACGACCUGUGCCCAAGGUGGUAGGGGCACAGCUUGGUUUUAUACAUUUUAGGGACAAAUAAGCUAUCAAUCAAUAUGUAUAAGAUGCAUACUCGUUCCAUCUGGAAAGGUGGGACAAUGCCAGGCGAAGGUGGGACAACUGGAAGCUGGGAGGGGGCUUCCAGGUCAUAGGUAGAGACAAAAGGUUGCAUUCUUUUGGGUUUCUAAUGAGCCUCUCUAAAAGAGGCAAUCUGAUACAGAUUUAUCUCGUAAGCAGACGGGUGACUCUGAAUAAAAUCAGGUUUGCCCUAAGCAGUUCCCAGCUUGACUUCUGCCUUUAGCUUAGUGAUUUGGGGGCCCCAAGAUUGAUUUUCAUUUCACGCUUAUGUGGACAGUACUUAAAACUAGACCAGAACAGCAUCUUCCAGAAACAAAGGCUCUUUCAGCAUUUCCUAGUUGUCUUAAUUGUACCCCUUCUGGAUCCAGUCAUUCUGCCUGGGUUGGGGUGGUACUGGUCUUCUAUUUCCAAGACAAACCACCAGGAUCUAUUGCUCAAUGAGUAAGCCCUUAGAAGGCCAAGACAGUUUGCAGAAGAUGAAAUGUCAACAUGUUAAAAUAUAAGUAAGUUCUACGUUGUGUUCACAUGUUCCAAUUCUCAAUGGCAAUUUUAUGUCAUAGUUAAGCUUUAAAGGCGAACUUCUGCAGAAGGGAUCACUGAAUUGUAUCAACCAUCUCAAAAACUAGACGAUGUCAUGGCGUUCUAUGCUUUAGAGAACAAACAGCUUUUUUGACACAAAUCUUAAAAUUCGUGGAGGUUCAGCUACACAGCAUAGAAUUCAGAAGCACAAUUCAUGAUUUUUAGUAUCCCUUUUACUAAUCAUGGUUUAUGAACCUUUUUAAAAAGUACCUAAAAUACAUUUAAUAAUUCAGAUUUAUGUACACAACAGAAGUUUAUAUUUUAGUUGGUUAAAAACAUGUUCCUGUAAUUAUCUGAAAGCAAGAAAGUCUUACUAUCUUUACAUUGAAUGGCAGGAAAACACAACAGAGAAGCAGGCAUUGAAGACAGAGCCUGGUCAAGUGUAGUGUCAUUUGAGGCUCUGUCUAAUUUGAUCAUUUAGCAAAUGGCGCUUUGCUCUACUCCUCUGAGUUGAAAAUAUUCUGCAUCCUGUGACUCUCCUUAUUAGUACAAGAUGUAGUGGCCUGAAAAACAGAGCCACUGUUUUUCAAUAAAUAAAAGAAAAAUCUUUUAUUUUCAAUGAUGUGCUGCAUAAUUUCCUAUUCA